GGGUCAGUAGGUUGGUCGUGCCACCGGUACGUACUGGUCUCACUGAUUCCUCCUUCCCGAAGAACCGUAAUGCCAUUAAUUUGGUGUUGCGGGGAAACAGGACUGUUACUUUGAAAAAAUUAGAGUGUUUAAAGCAGGCUAACGCUUGAAUACAUUAGCAUGGAAUAAUGAAAUAGGACGAUCGAUCCUAUUUUGUUGGUUUCUAGGAUUGACGCA
rnacentral:rRNA from 1 species